rfam:Ipomoea nil DNA, scaffold: scaffold1043, cultivar: Tokyo-kokei standard.
ACUUCGGUUUUAUUAAAAACCAACAUCAUAUUGUUUUUAAAUUAA